rnacentral:rRNA from 1 species
AUUGAACGCUGGCGGAAUGCUUUACACAUGCAAGUCGAACGGUAACAGGCCGCAAGGUGCUGACGAGUGGCGAACGGGUGAGUAAUGCAUCGGAACGUGCCCAGUCGUGGGGGAUAACGCAGCGAAAGCUGCGCUAAUACCGCAUACGAUCUAUGGAUGAAAGCGGGGGACCGUAGGGCCUCGCGCGAUUGGAGCGGCCGAUGUCAGAUUAGGUAGUUGGUGGGGUAAAGGCUCACCAAGCCAACGAUCUGUAGCUGGUCUGAGAGGACGACCAGCCACACUGGGACUGAGACACGGCCCAGACUCCUACGGGAGGCAGCAGUGGGGAAUUUUGGACAAUGGGCGCAAGCCUGAUCCAGCAAUGCCGCGUGCAGGAAGAAGGCCUUCGGGUUGUAAACUGCUUUUGUACGGAACGAAAAGGCUCUGGUUAAUACCUGGGGCUCAUGACGGUACCGUAAGAAUAAGCACCGACUAACUCUGUGCCAGCCGCCGCAGUAA